AAGACCUCUGCUGUGAAGAGACAGAUUUGCUCCUGUCUCAAACCCAAAAUAGCUUCUUCCCCUGCACUCAACAAUAAUGCACUCAACAAUCUUCCUAUCAAGUGUAACGCUGGCGUUGGCUUCAAAAUCAGCAAGAAUAUCAAUUGCAACACUCUGUAAGCUCCAGCUCACGGUGUGGUAGCUCUAUGGGAAGAGCGGAGUAAAGUAGUAUUAUAGCUGGGUACUGCAUAAUAGUUAUAGUUUCUAUGCAGUGUGUUGUGGAUAAAUAAUUAGCGUGGAGGUUGAUCACAUCACUGCGAAUCUCUUAGCUUUUGUUAUGUAUGUUGCUUGAGAUAUUGAAAUGUAUAUUAUGUUAUAGACCGAAUCAAAAGAUUGCAGAAUUUUGUUGCUUA